AAUGGAUGUAUUGUGUGUUUCUUGUUGUGUGUAAGGGAUGCAUUGUGUGAAUCUGUGUUUGUAUGCAUAAGGGAUGCAAAGUGUGUUUCUGUGUAUGUAAGGGAUGCAAUGUGUGUGUCUGUAAGGGGUGCGUUGAGUGUGUGUAAGAGAUGCAUUGUGUGUGUGUGUGUGUAAGAGAAGCAAUGUGUGUUUGCAUGUGUGUGUAAGGGAUGCAUUGUGUGUUUCUGUGUAUAUGUGCAAAGGAUGCAUUGUCUUGAUGUGUAAGGGUUGCAUUGUGUGUUUCUCUGUGUGUAAGGGAAGCAUGUUGUGUUUCUGUGUGUAUAGGGAUGCAUUGUGUGUGUGUGUGCGCGUGGUGUGAAAGAGCUCCCUGUCCUGCCCUCUGUCCUAUAGAGCUCUCCCUUCCAUUCCUUAGAGAUCUC